rnacentral:rRNA from 1 species
UACGUAGGGGGCAAGCGUUGUCCGGAUUCAUUGGGCGUAAAGCGCGUGUAGGCGGCCAGGUAGGUCCGACGUGAAAACUGGAGGCUCAACCUCCAGCUGUCGUUGGAAACCAUCUGGCUAGAGUCCGGAAGAGGAGAGUGGAAUUCCUGGUGUAGCGGUGAAAUGCGCAGAUAUCAGGAAGAACACCAAUGGCGAAGGCAGCUCUCUGGGACGGUACUGACGCUGAGACGCGAAAAGCGUGGGGAGCAAACAGG